rnacentral:rRNA from 1 species
UACGAAGGGGGCUAGCGUUGCUCGGAAUUACUGGGCGUAAAGGGAGCGUAGGCGGACAUUUAAGUCAGGGGUGAAAUCCCGGGGCUCAACCUCGGAAUUGCCUUUGAUACUGGGUGUCUUGAGUAUGAGAGAGGUAUGUGGAACUCCGAGUGUAGAGGUGAAAUUCGUAGAUAUUCGGAAGAACACCAGUGGCGAAGGCGACAUACUGGCCCAUUACUGACGCUGAGGCUCGAAAGCGUGGGGAGCAAACAGG